GGGCUCGGGGGUGUCCCAACUGAGAUGGCCCCCAACCGAGCAGGGGUUCCUCCUCUACAAGCGGUCGCCGUCGCCCCUUCGCCAAUUCGAAAAGGGCGGCGGAGUCCUCCUCUACAAGCGGUCGCCGUCUCCUCCUCCUCCUCCUCGGAUUGCCGUUCGCGCCUCGCGUUCAACAAGAAACCAAAAGAAAAACCUAAUCGGUCGCAAGUUCCCGGGAUGAUCCUGGGCACUUUUUACUCCUUGUCUUCGUUCGAUUCGGUUCGGUGGGGAUGGGGAUGGGGGGGAAUGGAAAUGGAAAUGGAACCGGUACUGCGACAACACCUCGCUGGUACAGAUCGAGGGGGGUGAACGCAAGGAGGAGGUCGCUUGGACUGCGGCAAGAGAAGGGCGUACAUGUACAAGGCCAACGGUGUAUCCGGGGGCAAGGUGACUCGAUCCCACGGCCACACCGGUCCCGCCCGAUUCCAUGGAUGGAACGACUUGGUUUUCUUGUACCCGAGCAACGAGGACAGGUGAGCUGCCUGACUUUAUUCUCUUUUAUAGUUUAACCUUGUGAUGAUGUGUUGUUCUUUAACAUAGCACUUUAUUUAGGAAGAUGAAGUUAAUAAAUGAAACGUUGUUUAUUUCUUCUAUCUA